GGGUAGAUUCUUGCAGACAUGCAUAUACCUUGCCAGAGUUCAAGAAAUUGAAGUUUGCACCUUUGAGAGUUCAAGGGAGAUCACUGUAAAGACACUUCAACGAUUUGCCGAACAAGUAUCAAUUAGUUGUGUAAAAGUAAGAAUAAUGCACGAACGUCCUCUCCUGUUGUUUCUCUAGACGUUUGACGUGCUGAGGAGUGCACCUAACAAAACAAGCGGCAUCCACUAUGAGAAGGAACUAAGGGAACUUUGGGGAUGGAGAAUUAGAAGAUUACUAGUAUUUUCCCGGAGGACGAGGAUUACUCUGCGGUCAUUUGACUAAACCAUUUUUCAAAACAUUCUCCGGCAUGUUUUUAAAAUGUUAUCAUGACCAUACAAAAUCAUAUUAUUAAAACGUUUUUACAAAUAGUUUAGAUAUUCUUAAUUUUUGUAUGUCAUUCAUAAAAGAUUUUAUGAACAUUGUAUAAUUCGUUACCAUGAUAUCUAAGAUAUCACAAAUAAAUGAUAACAUUUAUUUUUUGUUUUCGAGAUAUUGUUUCCAUGUUUUAAAAAUAUUUUUAAAAUAUUGUGUUGCUACCUGGAAUUGUGUAUAAUUGUAAUAUGC